AUCCUGGCUCAGAGCGAACGCUGGCGGCGUGCUUAACACAUGCAAGUCGAACGUGAGAGGUAGCAAUAUCUUGAAAGUGGCGAACGGGUGAGUAACACGUAGGUAACCUGCCUCGGAGUGGGGGAUAACAGUUAGAAAUGACUGCUAAUACCGCAUGAAUCCAUUAAGAUGGGAAUGUUGAUGGAGAAAACUCUGGUGCUUCGAGAGGGGCCUGCGGUCGAUUAGCUAGUUGGCGGGGUCACGGCCACCAAGGCGACGAUCGAUAGCUGGUCUGAGAGGACGAUCAGCCACACGGGAACUGAGACACGGUCCCGACUCCUACGGGGGGCAGCAGUGAGGAAUAUUGGGCAAUGGGCGGAAGCCUGACCCAGCAACGCCGCGUGGAGGAAUGAAGGCCUGG
rnacentral:rRNA from 1 species